AUACUUGCUUCGUCAGUACGUAUACUGAAAUUGAGACAAUACAGAGAAGAUUAGCUUGGCCCCCGCACAAGGACAACACAUAAAUUUGUGAAGCACUACAUAUUUUA